rnacentral:lncRNA from 1 species
AAAAAGAAGAAGUAACAUACCUGGAGACAGACCUCGUUUCUUUUUUUUCCAAUUGGGAGGGAAUUAAUUUUGGGAAUAGAUCAGAGAGGCUGAAACGGAAAUUUUGGGUUUGAUUCUUUGAUGUAGGAACUGAAGAGUCUUAGACCCCAGCUGUAUUCCGCCGCAGAGUACUGCCAGAAAUCAUACCUUCACAACGAGCAGAAGCAAAUGUAAGUAAGCAAAACUGAUGUCUUUACUUUUGUUUGAAUAAUAAUAACAACACGAGUUUGAGAGGAAAUUUUCAGGGUGUUGGAUAAUUUGAAGAACUACACCGUCGGAGCUCUGGUGAACGCAGUCGAUCAUCUCGGAACCGUUGCUUAUAAACUCACAGAUCUAUUCGAAGAACAAUCUUUCGAUAUUUCGAAACUAGAGCAAAGCGUAUCACGUUUGGAUCAGGUAGACGGUAGGCUGUACCUACCAAUCAAAACGAAAAGUUAAAUUUCUUCUUUUUCUUUUUCUUUCCUGAAACGAAUGAAUUUUUUGGGGGGAUGUAAGAAAAUCCAUACCUGCCAACAUUACACAGACAUCGAAGGGCUGGGACAACAGCAAUUGUUGGCACCGAUUGCGCGUCACCACAAGCACUACAUUCUGCCGAGCACCGAAACCGACACCGGAAGCGGGAGGAAGGGUGUUGGAUACGAUCGGAUUUCGUC